rnacentral:tRNA from 1 species
GAAUUAGUAACUUAACUGGUAAAGGACUUCCUUGUCACGGAAGUUGAUGUCGGUUCAAAUCCGACCUGAUUCG